rnacentral:tRNA from 1 species
AGGGAUAUAGCUCAGUUGGUAGAGUGCCUGCCUUGCAGGCAUAAGGCCCUAGGUUCAAUCCCCAGUGUCCCAC